CCACGUCACCUUCUCCCAGGUUUCUUCCACAUCGUUCCAUCCUUAUCCUAUCUCCCAACCAACUCCAAGCUUCAUCCCGUUGUGAUCUUCUCUUCUCCCGUUCGGAUAAAGCAACCAAUAUUCCCUUGUUUCACAUCCCGUUUGUAAUCACACUCAUCCCGACUGCCUUCCAUGUCUCCUCCCAGAUUUUAUCUUUCCAUCGUAUCUCCAUCCCAGCUCCCCUUCUUCAUUCCAUUCUCUUCCCAGCAUCCUUAUCUCCUUUCGCAUCUGAUUCCUCCCAAACCAAGCCAACUUCCCUUCCAGAUGAGAACCAGCAACCACCGCUUAUUCCAGCAUCCACGGAUGAGCUCAAAUCCCCUGCAUCGGCAACAAUCCCAUCCCAUUCCGGCCUGAUCCCAUGGAAUCUCCCAACAUUCACGCUGCUCCCCUGCUUCAAGAUCAAUUCAAAUCCUCCCCAUUCUUAGCGAUUUAUCCUCAUCUUCUCUCAGCCGUAAGCAUC
rnacentral:lncRNA from 1 species